UUACAUGACCGACGUGGGCGAAAGUGUAGUAGCUGCGCUUAUCAGGUUAAUAUCUGACACGGGUUGUAUUUGGACUCAAGAUAUGAAACUUAUUCUUGCAAGUUGCCCGAGCGCUUGAAGCCUGCUUCACCUUCGCCGUGGAUCCGCCCGGUAUUGUACUAUCUUUGGGAUCGGCUUAAGUUUU